rnacentral:rRNA from 1 species
AUUGAACGCUGGCGGCAGGCCUAACACAUGCAAGUCGAACGAGUGGCGGACGGGUGAGUAAUUUCUGGGCAACUGCCCGAUGGAGGGGGAUAACUACUGGAACCGGUAGCUAAUACCGCAUACCAUCGGAUGUGCCCAGAUGGGAUUAGCUAGUAGGUGGGGUAAAGGCUCACCGAGGCGUAGAUCCCUAGCUGGUCUGAGAGGAUGACCGGCCACACUGGAACUGAGACACGGGCCAGACUCCUACGGGAGGCAGCAGUGGGGAAUAUUGCACAAUGGGCGCAAGCCUGAUGCAGCCAUGCCGCGUGUGUGAAGAAGGCCUUCGGGUUGUAAAGCACUGUCAGCGGGGAGGCGGUACCCGCAGAAGAAGCACCGGCUAACUCCGUGCCAGCAGCCGCGGUAAUAC